CCUACGGGAGGCAGCAGUGGGGAAUAUUGGGCAAUGGGCGCAAGCCUGACCCAGCAACGCCGCGUGAAGGAAGAAGGCUUUCGGGUUGUAAACUUCUUUUAAGAGGGAAGAGCAGAAGACGGUACCUCUUGAAUAAGCCACGGCUAACUACGGGCCCGCAGCCGCGGUAGUACGUAGGUGGCACGCGUUUUCCGGAUUUACUGGGUGUAACGGGCGUGCAGCCGGGAAGACAAGUCAGAUGUGAAAUCCCGCGGCUAAACCGCGGAACUGCAUUUGAAACUGUUUUUCUUGAGUGCGGGAGAGGUCAGCGGAAUGCCUGGUGUAGCGGUGAAAUGCAUAGAUAUAAGGAAGAACACCAGUGGCGAAGGCGGAUGACUGGACGGCAACUGACGGUGAGGCGCGAAAGCGUGGGGAGCAAACAGGAUUAGAUACCCUGGUAGUC
rnacentral:rRNA from 1 species